rnacentral:misc_RNA from 1 species
UGUUUAUUGCAGCAAUGUUGUUAUUCGAUAUGUCACCAUAUUGGCUCCAGCUGAUUCACCAAAUACCGAUGGAAUUGAUCCAGACUCAAGCUCCAAUGUCUGCAUUGAAGAUUCCUAUAUUUCAGUAGGGGAUGAUCUAGUAGCUGUAAAGAGUGGCUGGGAUCAAUAUGGAAUUGCUUAUGGUCGCCCUAGUCAUGGCAUAACCAUCCGAAGGAUAACUGGAUCUUCUCCAUUUGCUGGAAUUGCAGUUGGAAGUGAAACCUCUGGUGGCGUAGUGGACGUUUUAGCUGAGCAUAUUAGUCUUUUCAAUAUGGGAGUUGGUAUUCACAUUAAGACAAACGUUGGCCGAGGAGGGAUGAUCAGAAACAUUACGGUCUCAAAUGUCUACAUGGAAAAUGCACGGACAGGGAUUAAGAUUGCAGGUGAUGUUGGGGAUCAUCCAGAUGAAAAUUUCAAUCCAA